UGAGUCCCAUUGGCCUUUGGGGGAGGUUUGAAAAAUUUUAUUAUGACUAAAUAGGUAAAAAGAUAGUUAAAAAAUUGGGCAACUAUAGUUGUUAUAGGCCAGGUGUAAAAGGUAGCUUAGGAAAACUUUGUGCCAGCACUUGCGGUCAAACAUAAAAGAGGUCAAAUAAUGAUAAUGGCUUGAAGCCAAGAAAAAUAAAUCCGAGAAAAAUAAGUUGUAAAAUGGGAAUUUUUUAGGAUAAGAGAAAAAGGCUUUUCACUUGAGUGAAGGGACUGGGAUUAGAAACCCCAUUACUCUCAAUAAAGGUAGAAAGUAGAGUAAAGAAAUAUUGGUCUGGAAAAAAAAAAGGUUUGGCGGCUUUUUCUCAAAUUAGAGAGUUAUGGUAAUAAUCGAAAUUGCACGAGAAUCUUUCUUUUUCUUCUCCCUCACACACCGCCGACUGAAGAGGGCCUUGAAAAAAAAUCUCUAUUUCUAUAGAAGAAAUAAGUCAGGUAAAAGUGUGGGUUUGAAAAAGUAGAACUGUAAUUCUAUGCAAAUUAAAUUUAUGGAAAUUUUUUGAAAGUGAAAAAAAAAAUUGAAUUUAAUAGUAAAUUAAGAAAAAUAUACUUGGUUGAAUUUGGAAGGAAAAGUGUACAAAUUGCCCGUCAAUCCAAAAAUGGACAAGUCGAAACAAAGUUGGCCUACUGGAAGGUGGUUCAUCUGUGUAC
rnacentral:rRNA from 1 species